GACGUAGGAUGCAAGCGUUAUCCGGAAUUAUUGGGCGUAAAGAGUUCGUAGGUGGUCUGUUAAGUUGGAUGUCAAAGCCAUGAGCUCAACUCAUGACAGGUGUUCAAAACUGGCAGGCUGGAGACAGGCAGAGGUAGGUAGAAUUCUGUAUGUAGGGGUAAUAUCCGUAGAUAUACAGAGGAAUACCAAAAGCGAAGGCAGCCUACUGGGCCUGUUCUGACACUCAAGAACGAAAGCGUGGGGAGCAAACGGG
rnacentral:rRNA from 1 species